CUGUGUUGUGUUUUGUUGGUUUAUUCAGUUCUGUUCUCUGGUUUUUGUGUUUUGUUUGUUUUGCGAUUAUGUUAGCAUGCAUUUAGAGCAGACAUGGGUUUGAGGACAAGGCUCACCACAGUCUAUGCUAAACUUUUUAAAAUGAAUGGUUUUCAUGAUGUUAUCUUGAGCAGACUUCUGGAUCCUUUCAUCACUCAUUAAUGCACAUUCUAAUGUUCAACUCUUGCUCUGUUCUGGUAUGUCAGGUGACGUUUUGCAUGAUAAUCUACCACUGCAACAUCAACAGUCAGGGUGUGAUCUGUCUGGACAUCCUGAAGGACAACUGGAGCCCGGCGCUCACCAUCUCCAAAGUGCUGCUGUCCAUCUGCUCUCUCCUCACAGACUGUAACCCUGUUCAUCAUGUGGUAGAAAGCAUCGACUCGCAGCUCCUGACUGACAGAGGAGCAUGACCGCAAAGUGGACAACGCUACGCCAGAAUCUGACCCACACCCUUUAGAGCAGGGGUGUCAAACUCAAUUCCUGGAGUGCCAGAGUCCUGCAGAGUUUUCUUCCAACCCUGCUCCAGCACACGUGCAUGUAGUUUUCAUGUAGUAAUAAGCCUGAAGGACUUGAUUAGUUGGAUCAGAUGGCAGAAAAUACACCUGCUCUUCUGAUGAAAUCCUGUUUGAGUUUGAAUGAGGUUUGCUGCUCGCUGAACCAGAGACAGUUUAUUGGUCCACAGAAUCAAAACAACAAUUCUGAAUGGAAAGGAAAGAGUUAUGCAUGUGAAGCAUCAGUUGAGUGUUACACACAGUGAUCGUCUGCAAGCAAGCAGCAGUCAAACUAUCUGCCCACAUCAAUUAAACUCAGAUCAGAUUAUUUUCUGCACGCUUCCCUGCAUGCCACAUGACACUCGACCUCAGAGCCUAAAGCAGACAGACAGGAAGUAGAUUGGCUCACCUUCCUCUUUCUCUGCAUGUGUGUUUCUGCAAAGACCUGAGGUGGAAGAACAGGGGGUUUCCUAUUAAACAGGCCACAUGAGGUGGGAGAGUCGUCAUCUCAUGAAAGAAGGAAGCAACUUGACCGCAUUUUCAGUGUUGUUUACAUCACACUCAUGACCCUCUCUUCUUCUUAUUACACCAGACAGGCAGAUUUUUUUCCCACAGGCCUUCAAUAAGCACUUCUCAAAAGACCAAAAAUGAGUCGCAGGUGUCUUCUGAUGGUCGUCAAUGCCAGAGAAAAACAACAAACCUUAUAAUCAUGCAUUGGGGAGCAGAAUAAAUAGGCUUAUAAUCUUCCAGAAGGGAAGUAAAGCUCUUCCGUAUCUGUUGUUGGUGGCACAGGCUGUGUCCAGAUCUACAGCUUCACUGGUGGUCAGGAUAAAUCAGGGUUGUUUGAAACACAUUGUGUUUUUGGGACCUGAAUUAUUGGCUGCUGGGAGCACGAAAUCACUCAUUCAAGAGACGGUUAGAAACCACAGUCGUUUUUCUUUUCAGCCUUCAUUAAGAAUUUUACGAAUAGUUGGGCUUAUUUCAUUUUUUGGUAAGAAGAAUACAAUUCAGUUAUAAUUUUAAGGCUAUUUUAGUUUCUUUUGGAUGAUAAGCAAGUACACUAUUAAAAAUAAAGGUGCUUAAAAGGUUCUUCACAGCGAUCUCACAGAAUAACCAUCUCUUUCUUACCUUUUUAUAAUCUGAAGAACCUUCUUUCA